GUGAAAUUCUUUUUUCAAGUCUUUUACAAUUUCCCACCUAUGUCUUUUGUGUGUCCAAAGUGUAUGCACGUUCUUUGCACAUGUUGCUUUAUUUUUAUUGAUUUCUAACAACUCUUUAUAUAUGAGGAAUGCUACUUUGUUUAAACAUGUUGGUGGCAGAUAGCCUUUGUUUCUAAUAGAAUGAGGCUAGAAAAACACAACUUGCCAAUAGGGACCACCAUAAACCUUCAUUUGCCCAACAAACAUCCUGCGUGUGAAUCAAUCAAUCCCUUCCUUCCUUCCUUCCUUCCUUCCUUCCUUCCUUCCUUCCUUCCUUCCCUCCCUCCCUCCCUCCUUCCUUUCUUUUCUCCCUCCCUCCUUCUUUCCUUCCUCUCCUCCCUUCCUCCCCCCU
rnacentral:lncRNA from 10 species